rnacentral:misc_RNA from 1 species
GAUGAAGAACGCAGCGAAAUGCGAUAAGUAAUGCGAAUUGCAGAAUCCGUGAGUCAUCGAAUCUUUGAACGCAUAUUGCGCCCUUUGGCAUUCCGAAGGGCAUGCCUGUUCGAGCGUCAUUAUCACCCCUCAAGCCCCGGCUUGGUGUUGGGCCCCCGGUGGUCGUACCCGACCACCCGCCUCAAAGAUAGUGACGGCGUCCCAGAGGGAACCGGUACGAGGAGCUUUCACGAGCAUGUACGCGGGACGACUCUGUGGGCGACGGUCUUUUUUAAACUUAAUAUAUCAAGUGUUGACCUCGGAUCAGGUAGGAAUACCCGCUGAACUUAAGCAUAUCAUAGCGGAGGA